GACGAACGCUGGCGGCGUGCUUAACACAUGCAAGUCGAACGGACAGGCCCUGCUUUUGUGGGGUGCUCGAUUGGCGAACGGGUGAGUAACACGUGAGUAACCUGCCCUUGACUUUGGGAUAACUUCAGGAAACUGGGGCUAAUACCGGAUAGGAGCUCCUGCUGCAUGGUGGUGGUUGGAAAGUUUCGGCGGUUGGGGAUGGACUCGCGGCUUAUCCGCUUGUUGGUGUGGUAGUGGCUUACCAGGGCUGUGACGGGUAGCCGGCCUGAGAGGGUGACCGGCCACAUUGGGACUGAGAUACGGCCCAGACUCCUACGGGAGGCAGCAGUGGGGAAUAUUGCACAAUGGGCGGAAGUCUGAUGCAGAAACGCCGCGUGCGGGAUGACGGCCUUCGGGUUGUAAACCGCUUUCGCCGGUGACGAAGCGUGAGUGACGGUAAUGGGUAAAGAAGCAACGGCUAACUACGUG
rnacentral:rRNA from 1 species